GUAUAGUGUCUAGAUCAAGGGACAUAAUAGUACCUUUCUAUUCUGCAUUGGUCAGACCUCAUCUGAAAUACGUCUCCAGUUCUGGGCAUCCAAAUUCAAGAAGGACAUUGACAAGCUGGAAUGGGUCCAGAGGAGGGUGACCAAAAUGGUAAAAGGUCUGGAUUCCAUGCCCUAUGAGAAGCAGCAUAGAGAGCUAGGUAUGUUUAG